AAAAACUGGCCGCCCUCGCGGGUGGCCUGAUGGCAACCGGCGACCGCCUUCAGGUGGGAGCCGUAAGCCUAAACCCUUUGUGAAAAACCCCGGUUGCUUCGGCAGCUCGUCCGGCGCCCCUCGGGGACUGGACGGUCAGCCUGCCGACGGCACUCCAGGAAACCCUUUGCUGUAAAGAAAGCUUUUAAAAGAGCACCGUCUGAGCGCGAAGUCUAAUGACUAUAAAACUUUCAACAACGGAUCUCUUGGUUCC
rnacentral:misc_RNA from 1 species